AUCAAAAGCAUAAUAGCAUAAAUGUUUCCUGUAAUCUUUCCUUGUUACCGUUAAAUUUUGCAUUAUUUAUGUAAUUUUGUUGUGCAGGUAUGGUAAGGUUUAGGUUUCUUUUUUUUCUUUUUCUUUUUUUUUUUUUUUGUUUUGUUUUGUUUUUAAAUGCCGUUAAAUGCCGCCCAUCUAUACGCCUCCCCUUUUACGAGAAUCUCGACGGUAAAAUUUUCCAGACUGAAAAUAUCCCGAAAUAAUUUGUCGCACUAACCAAGCUAAUGAAUUGGUUUUAAUUUUUUCGUCAACGAUGACGAAAUUUUUUAAAGAGAAAUUUGCAGUUUGUGGGUUUGGAAGACGGUUUUUUAGCCAACCAAUCAGAAAAAUUAAAUUUUUCCUUUUUGGGCAAAAUUGUUGCCCGUUAUCCAUUUUGUACCUGUAACCGCAGUGUGGAAAAAAAUUUUACGUAGCCUAAUGUUUAUGAUUUUUUUUCGUGUUAUUUAAGCAAUAUUUAAAGUUACUAAUGGUUGUAUUUGGUAUGGAUUUCGGCGGAAAUUCUUCUGCAAGAAAUCGAUUUAAAGAUAUUAUUAUAAAUGUUCAUCAACAGCAGAAAACGCGGGAUUUAUCGCUGACUGAUCUAAAUGCUCUGAGGAGACGGCGGCUGAUUACCCUCCAUAGAUAUAUUCCUGUUUUCUCUGAAGAAAUUCGUUCUAUGAUGUAAGUACUUU
rnacentral:misc_RNA from 1 species